CAGUAGCCGCGGUAAUACGUAGGGUGCGAGCGUUAAUCGGAAUUACUGGGCGUAAAGCGUGCGCAGGCGGUGAUGUAAGACAGUUGUGAAAUCCCCGGGCUCAACCUGGGAACUGCAUCUGUGACUGCAUCGCUGGAGUGCGGCAGAGGGGGAUGGAAUUCCGCGUGUAGCAGUGAAAUGCGUAGAUAUGCGGAGGAACACCGAUGGCGAAGGCAAUCCCCUGGGCCUGCACUGACGCUCAUGCACGAAAGCGUGGGGAGCAAACAGGAUUAGAUACCCCAGUAGUCCCUGUCUCUUAUAA
rnacentral:rRNA from 1 species